CCUACGGGAGGCAGCAGUGAGGAAUAUUGGUCAAUGGACGAGAGUCUGAACCAGCCAAGUAGCGUGAAGGAUGACGGCACAAUGGGUUGUAAACUUCUUUUAUAAGGGAAUAAAACAGGGUACGCAUACCCUCUUGUAUGUACCAUAUGAAUAAGGAUCGGCUAACUCCGUGCCAGCAGCCGCGGUAAUACGGAGGAUCCGAGCGUUAUCCGGAUUUAUUGGGUUUAAAGGGAGCGUAGGUGGGUUGUUAAGUCAGUUGUUAAAGUUUGCGGCUCAACCGUAAAAUUGCAGUUGAAACUGGCAGUCUUGAGUACAGUAGAGGUGUGCGGAAUUCGUGGUGUAGCGG
rnacentral:rRNA from 1 species